GACGAACGCUGGCGGCGUGCCUAAUACAUGCAAGUCGAACGCACGAAGUUGAAGAGCUUGCUCUUUAACCAAGUGAGUGGCGGACGGGUGAGUAACACGUGGGUAACCUGCCCAUUAGAGGGGGAUAACAUUCGGAAACGGAUGCUAAUACCGCAUAGUUUCAGGAAUCGCAUGAUUCUUGAAGGAAAGGUGGCUUCGGCUACCACUAAUGGAUGGACCCGCGGCGUAUUAGCUAGUUGGUGAGGUAAUGGCUCACCAAGGCAAUGAUACGUAGCCGACCUGAGAGGGUGAUCGGCCACACUGGGACUGAGACACGGCCCAGACUCCUACGGGAGGCAGCAGUAGGGAAUCUUCCGCAAUGGACGAAAGUCUGACGGAGCAACGCCGCGUGAGUGAAGAAGGUUUUCGGAUCGUAAAACUCUGUUGUUAAAGAAGAACAAGGAUGAGAGUAACUGCUCAUCCCCUGACGGUAUUUAACCAGAAAGCCACGGCUAACUACGUGCCAGCAGCCGCGGUAAUACGUAGGUGGCAAGCGUUGUCCGGAUUUAUUGGGCGUAAAGCGAGCGCAGGCGGUUCUUUAAGUCUGAUGUGAAAGCCCCCGGCUCAACCGGGGAGGGUCAUUGGAAACUGGAGAACUUGAGUGCAGAAGAGGAGAGUGGAAUUCCACGUGUAGCGGUGAAAUGCGUAGAUAUGUGGAGGGAACACCAGUGGCGAAGGCGACUCUCUGGUCUGUAACUGACGCUGAGGCUCGAAAGCGUGGGGAGCAAACAGG
rnacentral:rRNA from 1 species